CAGCCGCCGCGGUAAUACGAAGGGUGCAAGCGUUAAUCGGAAUUACUGGGCGUAAAGCGUGCGCAGGCGGUUUCGUAAGACAGAUGUGAAAUCCCCGGGCUUAACCUGGGAACUGCAUUUGUGACUGCGAGGCUAGAGUGUGUCAGAGGGGGGUGGAAUUCCACGUGUAGCAGUGAAAUGCGUAGAUAUGUGGAGGAACACCGAUGGCGAAGGCAGCCCCCUGGGAUAACACUGACGCUCAUGCACGAAAGCGUGGGGAGCAAACAGGAUUAGAUACCCCCGUAGUCCCUGUCUCUUAUAC
rnacentral:rRNA from 1 species